GAUGAACGCUGGCGGCGUGCCUAAUACAUGCAAGUCGAACGCUGGAGAUCUAGCUUGCUAGAUCGAAGGAGUGGCGAACGGGUGAGUAAUACAUAAGCAACCUACCCACGAAGACUGGGAUAAUCUCUGGAAACGGGGACUAAUACCGGAUAGGUAAUCGGAAGGCAUCUUCUGGUUAUUAAAGGUUAAAAACACUGGUGGAUGGGCUUAUGGCGCAUUAGUUAGUUGGUGAGGUAACGGCCCACCAAGACGAUGAUGCGUAGCCGGCCUGAGAGGGUGAACGGCCACAUUGGGACUGAGACACGGCCCAGACUCCUACGGGAGGCAGCAGUAGGGAAGUUUCGGCAAUGGGGGCAGCCCUGACCGAGCAACGCCGCGUGAGUGAAGACGGCCUUCGGGUUGUAAAGCUCUGUUGUAAGGGAAGAACGGUAGAUAGAGAAUAUCUAAGUGACGGUACCUGACCAGAAAGCCACGGCUAACUACGUG
rnacentral:rRNA from 1 species